rnacentral:rRNA from 1 species
GACGAACGCUGGCGGCGUGCCUAACACAUGCAAGUCGAACGGAAAGGCCCUGCUUUUGUGCGGUGCCCGAGUGGCGAACGGGUGAGUAACACGUGAGUAACCGGCCCUUGACUUUGGGAUAAGUUCAGGAAAGGGGGGCUAAUACCGGACAGGAUCUCCCGCUGCAGGGUGGGCGUUGGAUAGUUUCGGCGGUUGGGGAUGGACUCGCGGCUGAUCGGCUUGUUGGUGGGGUAGUGGCAUACCAAGGCUUGGACGGGUGGCCGGCCUGAGAGGGUGACCGGCCACAUUAGGACUGCGGUACGCCGCAGACUCGUACAUGAGGCAGCGGUGGCGAGUGUUACACAGUGAGCGGGAGCCUGAUGCGACGACGCCGCGUGCGGGAAGACGGCCUUCUGGUAGUGAACCGCAUUCGGCUGUGACGCAGCGUGAGUGACGGUAAUGGGUAAAGAAGCACCGGCUAACUACGUG